GCAGAAUUGUAGAAGAUUGGAUAAAAAGAGAAUAUUGAAGAAGAGAAAGUAUUUUCGAUAUUAAUUCUCGAAUGAAUGAAUACUGGAAGAGACUUCCCUUCUAUCCAAGAAAGUGUAAAUGCUUGCAACAACAUAGUAUAACUGCCUCCAACAAACAGUAAAAAAGUCAAUUACUAAAGUACCAUUUUCCCUCCAACAUCUCGGCUACCCAUUCCUCAACUAGUUAUUACUGUUCUUCUUUCUCUUCCUGUAAUAUGCAACACUAUUCUGUUUCAGCCCUUUUUAUCUGCAUCAUUACACGAAUAAAAUCAAAUGUAUUAUUAACAAUGUCUAUUGAAAUUUAAAAUUACAGCUUCCAAAGCAGAAAAGGAGUUAAAUCUUAAUGUAGUUUCUUGUUCUUCUAAUCUAGAACAUAUACGUGCCAAGUUCAGGAGGGAAACUUAAAGAAUCAAUACAUGGAAUGGAAGAGGAAAAAUCAAAGGAAACCUAGCAAAACCAUCCAAUGAGUUAAAAAUUUCCCCAGAUUACCUGGAGAACGCAUAUACGGGAUAGCAAAAGGCUGCUGCAGCAGGAGCCUGGAUUGCCCUCAACACUCUUUGCUGCAGAUAUCAAUCAUAGGACCAGAAAAGAGUGUUGCAGCAGACACUGAUGCCAUGUGAGCUCAAGUAUUAGGAACCCCAAAAGCUUCCCCAUAGGGAAGACCUCUGGCAAUGUCAACCUUUCUGCAAUAGUAUCCAAUGGCGCUCGACAACUGCUUAUACCAACAACUGCUUAUACCAAAUUAGCUUCCCAAUGGAAUCAACUUUUGUACGCCGUAUCCAGACCAAAUACGUGGGCAGAUCCACAAAUUUGUAAGCUCAACAUAUCUAAACAAUAAACAACAGAAACUUGGAAAUCACAUUUUCGGUUCACUAAAGCACCAUCCCUCAUCAGGCAGAUUGUAGCCAUAAUCUCAGUCAAUCUUUUCCAUUCUGCAGCUAGCAGUUCAUAUUAAAUAAAUCACGACCUGGCUGGCAGAUGCACAUGUACAAAGCUCUAGAAUUCAAUAAUAUCUAUUCAAUCUACAUUCCAGAUAAACCAAAAUUAACAAAAAUUCAACAAAGAUGAUGUUUUUCUGGUUGGAUGAACCAAAUAUCAAAAUCAACCAAAUUUGGAUUUUCAGCGUUUUUCUUUUCUUCUCUACAAGGAAUGUACAUGGUUGCCAAACAGAAACUACAAAUAUGAGAGCAAAUGAGACCAAAAGGAAAAAAAAAAUGCAUAUAUAUUAUAUAUAUUGAAUUUAAAAAAAAAAUAAAACAGAAAAGAAGCAAGUUAGGAAACAAAAUGAGAAAAAGAAAAACAGAGUAAUCAAUCAUGAUAUCACAUGCUACCAGCUCUUCCAGGAGUAGGUUUUGUUGUCUUGAAUUUAGCAAUGUCAACCAGUUCUCCAAACAGCUUGUCUUCUGGCUUGGAAGGCUUCUUAAGUGGCAGGUAAGAUGAAGUGGGAACCUGGUAAGAUGAGUUUCUCACAAUGCUAUCAUCUCUAACGCUCAGGCCAUACAUUUGCUGCUCAAGAUAUGGUGUCCCUUGUUGCGGAGCAUAACCAUAGCCAGCCAUUUGGUUGCCAUACAUAUGUUGAGGAUACAUAGAAGCCAUUUGCCCAUGCAUUGGCUGUGGAAGCAUACCCAUAUACUGCCCUCCCUGGACUACUUGAGGAUGCAAACCUAACUGAUUGCUCUGCAUAGCCGGAUUACUAAAUGCAGACAGAUGGCUGGUUGUGAUGGGCUGAAUGUACAUACCCACUAAAUGGUCAUUCACUGAAGGUUGCAGAGCCUGAGGCUGCAUGCCACUUUGUACUGGCUGUGUGUGCGUCACAACCACCUGAGUAACUUGCAUUGGUUGAGGGUAUUGAGUGCCUGCCACAGGGCUGCCAUCUGCUGGUUGAGCUUCCCAUGGAGGUGGAGGUAGUGACCCACUGCCUUGAGCGCCAAAAACUGGUGAGGCUGGCUGCAGAUGCUGUUGCUGAGGAACAUGUCCAUUCCAGGCAGGACUAGCAGCUUGCAUGUAUGGUGAAUGCUCAUUCCGCGGUGAUCCCAUAUUUGGGGCAAUUCCAUUUGUGUAAAUUCCAGCUUCUGGGGGAUGAGAAUUAAAUUGCUGUUGGAUUUGAGGAGUCGAAGAAUUUGUUAGUCCAGCUAAAUGGGCAGGGUGCACAUUGACAGCAUUUGGGGGGUUGCUACUGUCAGAAAACAUGUCAAAAAGAGCAAGGGCAUUCUGCUUAGAUGGAGUAGUAGUUGGCUGUGGCUCUCCCACAGGAACAAGAGCCAGUGAAUUAUCAGCCUUUGGUGAGCUAAAGUCAUCCCCACUCAACAAGUCCAUUUUGGGAUUGGCAGCUGCUGGAGUAGUUGGACCAUUAGUUGCAGGAGGUGCAGGGAGCAACAAUUGAUUCAUUAAACCAGAAGCUGAAGCAGAUCCCUCGACAGGUUGUUUGUGGCUGCCUCCGGCAUCAACUAGAGGACCACCAACAUCCACAAGUGCCCCACCAGAUUCAGGCUUUGGUUUCUCAGGUGCAGCAGGAGCAGGAGUUCCUGAAGCAAUAGCUUCAUGCUUGGCUAGUACACGCUGCAAAUCAUCAUUUAAUGCAAGCCCUUGGCAUAGCAAUGAUUCAUCCGCAGUUGAAUUAACAAGAUGUACUACUCUUUGCUUGUAUGUACGGCAUUGUUCCACCAAGUCAAUAAUAACCUCCUGCCUAAGUCCCACUUUGUUUCCUGGAUCUAAUGCACUUAACAUCUCUGCAAGGACAUCCAUGAUACCCCGCGCAUUCUGAAUUUCUGUCAAGCUAGUAAAAGAAAUUUCAAAUCAACACAAACAAUAACACUACUAAUGAAGCAUCAAAGGUUGAAUGAAAAAUGCAGUGCAACUUUUGAUACUCCAGCAGAUAACUAGUUUUUGUAUGUUCUAAUAUUGUGGCAACUCUAGUCAAUGGAAAAACUGCUUUUUUUUUUUGUCCUUUUUCCAAGGGCAAAUAUUAAGACCAGCAGUGCACAGAAACCAAGGUUGCCACUUAACACGUAAUGUGCCUCACAGUUGAGAAUAGAGAUUAUUACAUGCAUUACAAGCCUUCCAGGUAUACAAAAUUUACUAAAUCUUUGUCCCUAUACAUCUGAGACCUAAUAUGUGUAUUAGGAUUUCCAUCGCAACAGAUAACCUGCUUUGAUCUUUAUCCAAAGUACAGUCAGAAGGUGACCACCACUGUAGUGCAUAAUUUUAUAGCUUUUCCUCUUACAUAAUUUAUCAACGUGAAAUGAACAAAAUGAAUAUUGAGCGAGAGUCAAGCAAACUUGUAUUCACCAAUCACCAGGUAUACAGGCUAAAAUUUGGUACUUCAACAAGAUUUGUAUUAGCACAAAGUAGAUAUAUAUCCUAACAAAAGUUUUUACACCAUCAAUCAUAUAGGAUAAGGAAAGAAAUGACAUCAUGUAAAGUGCCAUAAAAAGGGGCCAACAAGGAACAGAAUCUAUUUUCAUGUUAGAUUCCAUUCUGACAUCAAAGACAAACUCUAAGAUAAACCUCAAUGUUGGGAACUCAGACUCUGCAGAAGACUCUGCUGCCUCUAGCCGAUUCUCAUUAUUCCGCAGACUUUGAGGAUAAGAUGUCAAUGGUUGUGUUUGAGGAGGUGUAAAUACAGGCGCAGACCUCUCAGAUCUCUGAGGGAACACAGCCCCAGCACGCAACAACUCUUGAUAUGCAGCAUAAUAUUGUGGAUAUCUUGCCCUUGCUCCACCAAAAGCUUCUUGCCAGGUGUCUAUUAGAAUCAGUAUCUUCUGUUUGACAUGAAAUUCAGGCUUUUUCUUCACUAUCUUCACCAUCUCAUGUAGAACAUCUUUCUCUGCAACGUGCAUAUGGACAAUGUCCCCACAAUUCUUUACAAUGGUUUCCAAUAGCUAGAAUAUACCGAAAGUUAAACAAACUUACUCAUCUGGAGAUAGUUGUUUAAAAUUACAACAAAUGUGUCAAACCCUAUAUCUAUGAAAUUAGCCUAGAAUUCAAAAUUAUUUAAUUUUAUAAGAAAAAUCUCAAAAAAAAAUAAAUAAUCCAAGAAUUUUCUUUUUACUUCAUUUUUCCAAUUUCAAAUCGAUAGGUGUCCAACAAACAAAUUGGGAUGCCAGGAAAGAUGUGAGGUUUCCUCAAUUUCACAGCACAGAAACAUAUUAUAUAGAGAUAUUAGAAAAAAGAACUCAGCUUAUAUGGAUAUAUACAAAAAGAACUCAGCUUAAAUCACACUCCUUGGUACAAAUAUGGCAAGUAAACCUAAUUCUAACAUGAAAUAAUUUUUUCCCCCUUGAAAAGGAAAAAUAUUGAAUGUAACAAAGCUAUAAUAAUGACAGUAUGUUGAUUACAUGCUGCAUCAGUGUGAUCAUACCUUCUCCGGGCAGCAUAAAUAAAAUUUGCAUAAGGAAAAAGAAAAGUCAAGUGAUUUAAAGCUUACUGUUAGUGCAAGAAGUUGAACUUUCGAAUUCUUACUUCCGAUGCGCUUCUUUAUACCUUUAACAACAUCCUUUGCUAUUACAGGGUCGUGAUUACACAUAUCACAGAUCUCGAUGUUCAUGGCCCAGUCAGGCCCGAUCAACAUGUCGCUGGUGGCCCGUUCAACCAUAGAAUUCACCAUCUUUGCUUCUUUUUUCCUUUUAUCUUCUUAUUCCAAACUCAAAAGAUCAAUCCUAUCCCAGUGACCGUAGACACUUUUUCCGGCGCGAUCGCACCUAAUUCCACGUAAAAUUCCGGCGAGUAACCUUGUAAAGCAAUCUCUAUAUCUAAUUACGUCUCCUUCCCUCUCUCUCAACUCCGUCUAGAUCGAUUAGCUCAAACAGAACAGUCGUUUAUCGAAGGACAAUCUCUCCGGAAACAGUUUUCUCUCUGUUACUUUUUUUUUCCCCUUCUUUU
rnacentral:misc_RNA from 1 species